rnacentral:rRNA from 1 species
AAUCAACGCUGGCGGCGUGCCUCAGACAUGCAAGUCGAACGCGAAAGUCCCCUUCGGGGGGCAAGUAGAGUGGCGCACGGGUGAGUAACACGUAGGUAAUCUACCUUUGGAUGGGGAAUAACAACCGGAAACGGUUGCUAAUACCGCAUAAUGCAGCGGCACCUAAUGGUGACAGUUGUUAAAGCGGGGGAUCGAAAGACCUCGCGUCUGAAGAGGAGCCUGCGGCGGAUUAGCUAGUGGUAAGGUAACGGCUUACCAAGGCAACGAUCCGUAGCCGGCCUGAGAGGGGCGGUCGGCCACACUGACACUGACAUACGGGUCAGACUCCUACGGGAGGCAGCAGUCGGGAAUUUUGGGCAAUGGGCGAAAGCCUGACCCAGCAACGCCGCGUGAAGGAUGAAAUCCCUCGGGAUGUAAACUUCGCAAGAACGGGAAGAAUAAGUAGGGGACAAUACCCCCUA